AUUGAACGCUGGCGGCAGGCCUAACACAUGCAAGUCGAGCGAAGCCUUCGGGCUUAGCGGCGGACGGGUGAGUAACGCGUGGGAACGUGCCCUUUGGUACGGAAUAGCCCCGGGAAACUGGGAGUAAUACCGUAUGUGGUCGAGAGACGAAAGAUUUAUCGCCAAAGGAUCGGCCCGCGUUGGAUUAGGUAGUUGGUGGGGUAAUGGCCUACCAAGCCGACGAUCCAUAGCUGGUUUGAGAGGAUGAUCAGCCACACUGGGACUGAGACACGGCCCAGACUCCUACGGGAGGCAGCAGUGGGGAAUCUUAGACAAUGGGGGAAACCCUGAUCUAGCCAUGCCGCGUGAUCGAUGAAGGCCUUAGGGUUGUAAAGAUCUUUCAGUGGGGAAGAUAAUGACUGUACCCACAGAAGAAGCCCCGGCUAACUCCGUGCCAGCCGCCGCAGUAAUAC
rnacentral:rRNA from 1 species